UGCAGUAUAAUGCUAGCACUCAGGAGGUGGAGGCAAGAAGAUAAAGAGUUCAAGGCCUACCUAAGCAUCGCUGGAGGUCAAUCUGAGGGCAGACAGAGUUGUGAAGCUCAUUAGAACUUCGUAAGAAUGUAGCAUUACUAAUAAUUUUGGACACCUUGAAUAUGAAGAGGUUUCAAUUUUCAGAAAGCCAGCCUAUUCCAACAGCCCCAGUUGUACCCAGAAGGCAACAUUCAACUUUCAAUCCACUCUAGGCUGGGCUUGGUUAAAGCCGGUGAGGGGGGACAUUGCUACUGACUCCCUUGCUAGCACUGAGAAACUCUGCCUGCUGCAUGAUCACACCUUCUAUGAACCUCCCACACCCACUGCAUGACUGUUCUUGAAGUCCUGAUUGAAUGGGGCCUCCUGCCUCAGUGUCCAGCUACAUUCUAGAACGCUUGAUUGCGGUACAACUGCUUGCUACCGAGGCUUCUCCCUCCACGAGCACAUUAAGUGAUGCACUGCCAUACUUUUAGUCAUUCUUCCAACCGGUAGCUGAAAUUUCUACAUUUCUUAUUAGUGCAUUUUAAGUCAAAUAUUAUAAAUAAAAUACAAUUGUUCUUAAAGUUCUUCUUCCUUGAGAGAAAUGGGUCUUGAUUUCAAAUUAUAACUUGAAAUAAAUUCUUAAACCAUUAGCUUCCACCAAAAAGAAGGUUGCCUAGUGUAGGACAGACAAUGUGGCAAAGAACAGGGCUUUGGGAUGUGUUUGCACAUUUGAGUCGUACUUUGACUGACAACAUGAAGAUACAUAGAGAUUAUGUCAUGAAGUUUCUGAAGGUAAAAUAAAUGGCAU